ACCAGAAUUUAAUUAGGUGUUAAUAACAGUUAUAUAAUAAGGAAUAGAAAAUUCCAGAAUUAUGUAUUUGUUAUAGGCUAUUAUACGUAUAGUUAAUUUGACAGCUAUGUUUGUAAAUUACGUUAACUAAGUGCGAUCUACAAUUCUAUAUUUAAUGUAAAAAAAUCGUUAAUUUAAAAUAAAACUUGUCACUAAGGCGACCAAAAUUAUACAGGUCCCAACGAAGAACGACAGCAGCCUUUUACAAGUGUAUAUUUUCCCAAAUUCCAUGAGAAACCAUGCCACACUAUUAUUAUUCAUACAGUAAUCUACAUGAAGAGAUUAUGCAGAAACAAAUUGUGGUCACGUGCAUGCGUGAACCACAUGAGAUAUAAAUGAUUUACUCAUUCAUUGCAAUGACACAACAAUUUUAUUUUUUCAACUGUCAAAAUUUAAACCAAUCUCCACGUGACACUGUUUCUCAUAGAAUUGCAGGAUUCUUAAUCAAUCAGAAUUAAGUAAUUUUUUCAUGUACAUUGCUACUAUUGGUAUAGUAGUAUUAGGUGUAAUACAGCAUUGUUAAUUCUCAUAGCAACAUGAAUUUCUGCAUGCAGAGGUGUUCAAAAGUGUUUUUCCAGACAUUAUUCACUUGGUUGUAUGUUGCGUUGUAUGUUUUCUUCCUCGACUUCUUCGUCUGGUUCUUCCGGUUUGGGGAACUUGUUAUAUACUAUGAGAAAAAUGGUACCUAGGACCACGCCUAUUAUUACCAACGACAGCACAAUUGGUGUCAGUACACUCAUAUGUUUCCCAUCGGGUGUUGGUAUUGUCACCGCCAAGAUUGCGAACAAAACGUUCUCUACGGAUAUUAAACUGUACAACGCAAAAUGGGCAGUGUGUGGACUUGAAAAACCUUCGGUUAACUUAUCUGGCACGUGUAACAAGAACGGAAUGCUGAAAAUAAUGUGUAGAAAAAAUUUGCUUACCAACUCACACUUGCUUUCAGCAGACUCGUCGAAUUUCAACCAUGAGAAAACAUGUACUAUCAGCCAACGAACCGCCAGUGCUGUGAACACAUGUUCCUUAAAGACGUAUGCGAAUGCUGCAAUUGCAAAAAGUCUGGAUAGCAAACUAAACAAUUGAGAAGUGAAAAAUACAACCGUGGCUAGCAGUGUGAAAUUGUGGUUAUUUUUAUUUACUCUCGCUUUCUCAAGAGCGGUAAUACUCCAUGCUAAAGAAAGCAGGGAAAUCACGGUUGAGAGCACGGUUAACCAUGGAAAAUCCCACUGACGUAACAUGAUGUAAACCUGUAGACACCAUUGUGGAGCAGACUCUGUAAGUGUCUCUACAUAACGUACCCACGCGAGCUUGUAUGCUGACUUGUUAGACUCUUUUAUCUUUGCGCGGUACUGUUUGCAAUUUGUACAAUUGCAUUCCUUAAAGUUGUUUCUACAAGGGGGAUUAUCCCGAUAUGUUUGCUUCCAAUAUUUGAACUCUUGGACAUAACGCACAAAUAUCGACGAACAUACAAA
rnacentral:lncRNA from 1 species